AACCGAAAACUGAUUCGCCUGUGCUACUGUGCUACAUAAAUCCAAAAGUGAGUUUGCUGCUGUUGGGGUUAACAAGAAUAGAUCAUGGAUGCAAACAAAGCGCCUCCGGUGGUGCACCCAACGGUGGCAGCACUGUCCUUCCUUCUCGGCACUUGGAGAGGCCAAGGAGAAGGAGGCUACCCCACCAUCAAUUCCUUCUCUUAUGCCGAAGAACUUCACUUCUCUCAUUCUCCCAACAAGCCUGUGAUAGGGUAUACUCAAAAGACAUGGAAGCUGGGCUCCGGGGAGCCAAUGCACGCUGAGAGUGGAUACUGGCGUCCUAAACUUGAUGGCACCAUUGAGGUUGUCAUUGCUCAAAGCACUGGUCUUGUUGACGUUCAGAAAGGGACAUAUAGCACUGAACAGAAAGUGAUUCAGCUUCAGAGUGAAAUGGUUGGGAAUGCUUCUAAGUGCUAUUAGGUUAGGGUUUGGAGAGAUGAGUAUCGAUUUCUGGGAGAAAUUUGUGGGAAGCUUUACAAGUUCGAUUUCUCUCUUCCUUCUGAUUCUCCGAUCUGAUGACAUAGGUGGUGAAGAUCUUCGAUUAGAUUUCGGAGUGGAAAGGAAAAAGCAGGAGGAUAAAGUGAAGAGGGUGCAACAACAGGAGAAACAUUUUAAGCGUGUUAAGUAAGAUCUUCGGAUGAUCAUGAACCCCGAAAGGAGGCAGAUCAUCGACACCUACAUUGAUGGAGUAGCUGCAGCUGCUAGGAAGUGCGACGUUGGGGAAGAAGAGGAGAGUUAUGAGAUCGGUUGCAGUGAGGUGGACCACAAAGGCAGCAGCGACAGCGGGACAUGGGUGUGUGGCAUCAAGCUCUGGUAUCUCAGCUACCAUUGCGACGGCCAGAGACGGUAGUCAUGGAUACCACGGUUUUGAUGAUAUGUAGAAAACAGAGAGGGUCGCUGGUUCAGGGGCACUGGGGCACUGGGGCAGUGGUUCAGAGAUUCAAGUCUAGUGGAGUGGAUGUAGGAGAUAGAUGAGUAAAUACUGUUGAAGAAGGACUGCAGAUGCUGUUGGAUUCUGACCUCCCUGCACUCAAAGUGGAUUUUCUGGAGCUACAGAACUCCAAAUGGCACGCUCUCAAUUGCGUUGGAAAGUAGACAUCCAGGGCUUCCCAGCAAUAUAUAAUAGUUCAUACUUUGCCCGAGUUUAGACGACGCAAACUGGCGUUCAACGCCAGUUUCAUGCUGCAUUCUGGAGUUAAACGCCAGAAACAGGUUGCAAAGUGGAGUUAAACGCCAGAAAUAGGUUACAAACUGGCGUUCAACUCCAAGAGAAGCCUCUACACGUGUAAAGCUCAAUGCUCAGCCCAAGCACACACCAAGU